GUUUUCAUUAUUCUCUUUCUCUGCGACUCUUUGAUCGGCGAUUUUGAAUUUUGCUCUGGUUUCAAAUUUUCAAGUUCUUUCCCUUGUUGUACUCGAUUUGAGUAUAACUAAUCGGAGAUUGAUGGUUUUCUCUUCGAUCAUGUUCGUAUAAGAAGACAGAGACUGGAUUCUUCUCUCAUUGAUCACAGAGAGUUUUCUCGAGAAUGCUUUCGCAACAGUCUACAUACUCUUCAGAUAUUUUUGAAGACUCAGAGAUUUCAAAGUGUCUAUGGACUUCAAGAUUGAUCACAGCGAUAAUUGAAAAAUAGACUCUGCAUAACAUCCCUCAGGUACUUUCUUGGUGAUUUUUAGAAAUUGUUUGAUGCAAGAAUAUGAAAUUACUUUAGGAUAAGGCAUGUGCUUCUCCUAUGUUUGUAUACGAUUGGUUGAUAUAAGUAUUAAUGUUAGAAAUCUUAAGUUAACAAGAUCCUGCUUUAAAUACCUGAGCAACUGAUUCAAUGGAAUUUAUUUGACAAUCACUCUUCUUAGUGCAGGGUAUAAAAAUGUCAACAAAGAUAGAAACACUAUCAUAAUCAAAACCUACUUCUGAUAAAAAUGAAGAAUUUGUUACAUUAAUUGCAACUCGGUCUUAGGUAAGUAAACAAUUUAGAUAAUCGUUAGAAAAAGAUACCUUUUACUUGUUUAGUAUUGUUAUGAACAUUUAGACGUGAGAAUAUGAUUUUAUUGGUUGUUUUAUGGACUAUUAUGUGGACUAUGGUUUAUAAUUUGAAGCUAUGGCUUAAAUCCGUUGGUCAUUCUAUGGAUUAUUCUUUGGAGCGAUGGCUUGAAUUUUGUUAGUGGUUGCAUGAUCUGUACUUACUUAAAUAUGUGUAUUGUGUGGUCUAAUAUGCUAACUUGAAUAUGUGCUUGUGUGGUUUAUGCUUUGAAGUUGUGACUUUUUCGGUUGUUUGUUGUGUAGUAUUUGUUUGCUUGAAUAUGUUGGUUGUUACACGGUGUUUUCUUACCUUAAUCUUUGUGUUGAUUGGUUUAGUGCUAACUUGAAUACCUUGUUUGUUUGAGUGGUCUAUGUAUUAAUUCAAAAAAUAGCUAUUACUAACAUUGAAAUUUAUGAUGAACUCGAAAAGAGAUGGUUAUUGAUUGUCCUUGGAAGAUUAUCUUACUUGAUUUGUAAUGAUUGCUUAGUAGUGGUUCGAUAUGAGACCUUUCUUUUGUUAUGAGUGUCUGAGAAGGGAGAAAAAAUAUUUAGUGCUCAAUUACAAUUUUCGUUGAUCAACAAUAUCUCUCCAGAUUACUAUAAAUUACGAUUAUUCAUGGAUAUACAUUUUAACAAGUUAUAUUUCAUCAUCUGUCUUUCAAGUUUGAUUGCUCCGUUAAUUUACUAAUAGAAAUCAUUAGUUUCUAGUUUUGUGUUGUGUUUCUUCGUGUCUGAAGCUAAUUUUGUAACCGUGAAUGAUACUAGUUCUCUUGUUUCUUGAAAGAUUUCAAUUUCUUUGUUAUGUAAAGUAACUGUUUCCAGAGAAAUUGUUUAAGUAUGAAAUACUUGUUAGCAGGUUUUUAACCUUUGGGGUUAAAAAAACUGGUGAAAGACUCAUCAAUGUUUCCUCCAAAACAUGAGCCUUUGAUACCAAAUGGUAAUGAUUGUUUCAGGGUUCUUCAACAUCUUUAGCUUUCCUUCAAUCUUCCACAGUCUUGCUUUCUUUAGGAACAUUCUUCAGAAUCUCUAAGAGAGACCACAAGCGUUUUGUUCUUAGUCUAUUUCUUGAAUGUUCUCUUCUAGUUCUAGUUUUUAUGUAGCUUGUUUGGCUUGAAGUUAUCUUCUUCCUUUUAAUAGACGUUAGAAUAUGGUUUAUAGAAACCAAAACAGAACCACAGAAAUUUUUGAAGUGC
rnacentral:sRNA from 1 species